rnacentral:sRNA from 18 species
GUCAAUCACCCCGGCCUAAAGGCCGAGGCUUGUGGGGUAGCAAUCCGCAAGUCUGAGGUUGACCAGACCAUCCGUCGCAAGAUGCACCGUUGUGCAGGAGACAGCAGACCCACCGCCAGAUGCUUCCUGAGUCUGGCGCUCUGGA